GGCCUCGGCCCGCGCCUCCCCCGCUCAUCUAACGCGAAGCAGUUCCCGGCCCGGCCCAGCCCUGCGGCGAGGCUAUCCCCGCUCAGAGUGCGUGGGCGCGGGAGACUAGCCUGGCCCUUCCCCUGCAGCCUUAGUGAUGGCUGUGUUAUACCAACUUGCAAACUUCCUGAAGACUGAACAGCCAACUGGCCUGGGCUCAGCACACCACCGGGGGAGGGAGCAGACGGCAUGUGGUGUAGGCCAAUGGGCAGAGGGCUGCUCCUGGGAGCCCAGGCUCUGGAGGAAGGCCAGGUGGCAGGGAUGGCAUUUUCCCUCUGGAGACUGUGCCCUCUGUGACCCUCCGGCUCUGAAGACAGAGCCACAGCCCCGUCGUCCCCACGCUUCUGGCUGUGUGUCCUCUGAGUUCGGCGCACCCCGCCACCCUGUGAACCGGACAAAGUGACUCCAAGGACAGUGUGAAUGAAACUGUCUGGCGGCCCAGCCCAUGAUCACCGUCACCCUGGUGUGGCCGUGGGUAGGCACGGGGCGACGGAACCAGGCUAGAAGACACCCACAGGAAAAUGCUGGUGUCCGUAGGGCCAUGGCGGUCUACUUCUUGUGACUCUGACUGCCUGUUCAGAGGAUGUAAGGUGGGCUUGUCUCUGUGCAGCCGGACACCCUUCCUGGAUGACAGUCCAGAGCCCCUACUCUGCUUGCUUCUGUUUUUUCCCAGUGAGUGAGGAAGAACCCUAUGAGA